rnacentral:rRNA from 1 species
UACGUAGGGACCAAGCGUUGUUCGGAUUUACUGGGCGUAAAGGGCGCGUAGGCGGCUUAACAAGUCACUUGUGAAAUCUCCGGGCUUAACUCGGAACGGCCAAGUGAAACUGUCAAGCUAGAGUGCAGAAGGGGCAAUCGGGAAUUCUUGGUGUAGCGGUGAAAUGCGUAGAUAUCAAGAGGAACACCUGAGGUGAAGACGGGUUGCUGGGCUGACACUGACGCUGAGGCGCGAAAGCCAGGGGAGCAAACGGG